GGGAAGAGCAACGGAAGUCGGAGCACCUUCCUGUCCCUCCCAGUUCGGGACCCCACUGGGUACCCUGCUAGGCAAGGGGAGCUGCUGGGAGGGCUGGCGGUGGCCUGGAGGAAACGAUUCCCCCCCGUCGCGGGGUUGGGUCCGGGAAGAGUAAAGCAGGUAAAUGAGGUUUGAUUUAUAAUUUUUAAAAGCUCACUACAAAUGGUCAUGUGGAGUGUAUCCAAGCCAGUGAAAAGCAGGAAAUCAAUCAGGAAGCUACUGCAGUCCAGGCAAGAGGUGGUGAUGGCUCUACCUGGGGUGGUAGAAAUGGACGUGAAGACAUGGGGGAGAGUAAACUACAUGGCGAGGGGAGAGCAAAGUUUAAGUUGAAGCAGAAGAAAAAUUUCCAAAGUACUCCCUCUAAAGAAAGAUAUUCCGGGUUGACAAGUAGCCCUUCCAGGGGUGAUUCAGAGUCAGCCAUCCUCCAUUUUGUGCUCUAACAUCCUAGAGCCUCAUGAUCAUCUGCACCUGAGGAAGGGGGAAGCCUGGACAUACACUCACUCCAAAGUUCUAGCCUGGAAGUGACACCAUAACGUCCACUCGCAUUCCACUGGAGAGAAGUUGGCUACCCCUUCCCCACUGGGGAUGGGGAGUAAAGGGCUGGGAACUGCAGUCUAGCCAUUUGUUCUAUGAGCCUAUAAUUUUGCAAGUUGAGAGCAGAUUUUGGUGGACAGCAGAAGUCUCCACUAUGUGUUGUUUCCAGUAUCUAUUAUGAACUGAACUGCAAUAGUCAUUCUUGUUUGAGUCCCCUGGUACACCUGAGCAAGAGGAGUUUUUCUGUCCAUACCUGGGAAUGAGAAUGCUCAGUCUGAGGGCCUAUUUUCAACUGUACCAGAGAUGCUGCCAAAUCAUCUUCAAAGUGAUUGUACGAAUUCACAUUCCAAAUCACACAUCAGAGUUCAUGGCUCCAA